AUGCUUCACGCUCUUCUUCUCUUGUGCCUUCAGACUAUCCAGAUGGCUGCAUUAGAAGCUCACACAGAAAUCAAAGUGAAGCCUGGACAAGAGGCCACCUUUCACUGUGCGUGUCCCAGAGCUGCAGCCAUCACCCUGCUGGAGUGGAGCAGACACGGCCUCGAUUCUUUGUUCUAUCGUAACUCGUUUCAAAGAUACCAGCCUGAGUCCUUUGAAGACCGAGUGGAGUUGAAGGAUGGAGACCUCACUUUGAUUCUGAAGAACGUCACCAUCAACGAUAAUGGCACGUACAAGUGUCGGAUUGUGUUCAGGAACAAAAACAGCACAGAGAGACCGUUCAGGGGCAUUAAGUGCUUCAUCAACCUCACAGUGACGGCCUCGGACCACACAGAUGUCAAAGUGAGGUCUGGACAAGAUGUCACUCUUCAGUGUCGGGGACCCACAGAUGCAGAUAUCACAGCAUUAGAGUGGAGCAGACCCGAGCUCGUGUCAGAGGGUUAUGUGUUCUUCUUCCAAAACCAGCACUCAGAUGAGAACUAUCAGCACGAGUCCAUCAAAGGCCGAGUGGAGCUGAGAGACUCAUCCACGAAGGACGGAGACGUUUCCAUCAUUCUAAGGAACAUCAGCAUCAGCGAUACAGGAAUAUAUGAAUGUAAGAUUACAACCAAUCACACCAUCUAUGGUGAGAGAGUCAUCAAGGAGUUCAGACACUCCAUCAACCUCACAGUCACAGACUCAGGUUUCACAGAUGAAGACACAAAUAGUGGAGGAGACGAGGGUGGAGGAGAUUGGGAUUGGACUCUUUUAUUAAUAGUUUUUCUGUCAGUUUGGGCUGUGUUUGUUGUUCCUGCUGUUUCUGCUGUCGUCAUAAUUACCUGCAAGGAACAAAAGCCGUUAUAG
rnacentral:lncRNA from 1 species